rnacentral:rRNA from 1 species
AUGCAAGUCGAACGGGCCUUGUCCCCUUUUUUUUGGGGGUGGGGUUAGUGGCGAACGGGUGAGUAACACGUGAGUAACCUGCCCCUCACUUCUGGAUAACCGCUUGAAAGGGUGGCUAAUACGGGGUGUUCUGGCCUGCUCGCAUGGGUGGGUUUGGAAAGAUUCGACCGGUUUUGGUUGUUUUGGUGGGGGAUGGGCUCGCGGCCUAUCAGCUUGUUGGUGGGGUGAUGGCCUGCCAAGGCUUUGACGGGUAGCCGGCCUGAGAGGGUGGGCGGUCACACUGGGACUGAGACACGGCCCAGACUCC